CCUACGGGAGGCAGCAGUGAGGAAUAUUGGUCAAUGGGCGAGAGUCUGAACCAGCCAAGUAGCGUGAAGGAUGACUGCCCUAUGGGUUGUAAACUUCUUUUAUAAAGGAAUAAAAUGUUCCACGUGUGGGUUUUUGUAUGUACUUUAUGAAUAAGGAUCGGCUAACUCCGUGCCAGCAGCCGCGGUAAUACGGAGGAUCCGAGCGUUAUCCGGAUUUAUUGGGUUUAAAGGGAGCGUAGGUGGAUUGUUAAGUCAGUUGUGAAAGUUUGCGGCUCAACCGUAAAAUUGCAGUUGAUACUGGCAGUCUUGAGUACAGUAGAGGUGGGCGGAAUUCGUGGUGUAGCGGUGAAAUGCUUAGAUAUCACGAAGAACUCCGAUUGCGAAGGCAGCUCACUGGACUGCAACUGACACUGAGGCUCGAAAGUGUGGGUAUCAAACAGGAGUAGAUACCCCUGUAGUC
rnacentral:rRNA from 1 species